CUGCAGUUGAUUCACAUCAGCCUGAUUAUGCAGAGGAGAAGCAGAAUGACAUCAUUCACAGUAUCGAACAGCUGAAUGACAAAGUUGAUGCACUAUAUCCUUAGACCAUCCCUGAAAGUGUCGGUUCUCAGACAUACUAGGAGAGAGACCAGUGUGGACGCUGCUGACACGAUUAUCCAAAGGUUGGCCAGCUAAACCAGAAGUGUGGGCUUGAGCCAAUUACAAGCAGUGCCUGGAAGUAAUGGGGCUUCCAGUAAAGUCACUCAAAGAACUCAAGAGUGCUAAUGACAGACUUGAUGGCGAGGACAA